rnacentral:lncRNA from 1 species
UGCUGCACCUGACCCUGAGGAAGGAGUGAAGCCCUGUGUCGCGCUGCCUUAUACUCGAGAGCCCGGAGAUCACGUGGGCUCGCAUUUAUGGGAAACGCCCACGGCAGGCGACCCACAGAGGCAGGCCCUGGACUCCAGGUGUCACUGUGUCCCCAGGAGCGUCACGGAGGAGACACAGCUACAGGAACACAAACGGCGUGAUUGAGCACUACGGAGAAGUUUGGAAAAUGUGUUACAGUAAAACACGCUGCUGUGAAUCGCUUCAGUCUUCCCC